GAUGAACGCUAGCGGCAGGCUUAACACAUGCAAGUCGAGCGAGAAAAGGGCUUCGGCCCUGAGUACAGCGGCGGACGGGUGAAUAACACGUAGGUAACCUUCCUUUCAGCGGGGGACAACGGUCCGAAGGACCGCUAAUACCGCAUACGUUCUCUGGGGCUUCGGCCUUGGAGAGGAAAGGCCCGCAAGGGCCACUGGAUGAGGGGCCUGCGUAGCAUCAGCUAGUUGGUGGGGUAAUGGCCUACCAAGGCGAAGACGCUUAGCUGGUCUGAGAGGAUGAUCAGCCACACUGGGACUGAGACACGGCCCAGACUCCUACGGGAGGCAGCAGUGGGGAAUAUUGGACAAUGGGCGAAAGCCUGAUCCAGCCACGCCGCGUGAGUGAUGAAGGCCUUCGGGUCGUAAAGCUCUGUGGGGAGGGACGAACGGCGCCCGUGAAGAACGGCGGAUUGACGGUACCUCCUUAGCAAGCACCGGCUAACUUCGUGCCAGCAGCCACCGGUAAU
rnacentral:rRNA from 1 species